CCGCUUCUUCCAGGUCGAUGUCCUUCACCGUUUUCCCUUCAGGCAAUGUCCAAUCAAAGAAGUAGAGCAAAUUCAACAAACCCAAUUCCACUGUGACGAUCCCCAUAUUCAUCCCGGGACAGAUUCUUCUUCCAGAACCAAACGGUAAAAGCUCAAAGUUCAAUCCCCUGUAAUCUAUGGAACUGUCGAGAAACCUGUCAGGGUUAAACUCAUCUGGGUUUUUCCAUAGUUUUGCAUCGCGUGCGAUCGAGUAAACGUUGAUCAUGAUCUGUGUUUUUGCAGGAAUGUCGUAGCCUUGGAUCUUGAUGUCUGACAAUGUCUCUCUUGGGAGCAAAAGUGGAGCUGCUGGAUGUAACCUGAAUAACUCCUUAACCAUGAGCUUGAAAUAGUGAAGCUUGUUGAGAUCUUCUUCUGUGAUUCUCUCCUUCUU
rnacentral:lncRNA from 1 species